rnacentral:pre_miRNA from 1 species
AACAAACCAAUCUUUCACUUAUUAACUAUAAUGUUUGACUAUUCAUCUUAUUUAAAAAAAUUAUGAUUAAUAUUUUUAUUUUUAUUAGAUAAUAAAUCAUGAAUAAUACUUUACUUAUGACUAUUUUUUUCAAAUUCUUAUAAUUUUUUUAAAUAAGAUGGAUGGUCAGACGCUACGCAUGGAAACCAAAAGAUUGGUUUGUU